UGCAAGUCGAACGAUGAACCACUUCGGUGGGGAUUAGUGGCGAACGGGUGAGUAACACGUGGGCAAUCUGCCCUUCACUCUGGGACAAGCCCUGGAAACGGGGUCUAAUACCGGAUACCACUACCACGGGCAUCUGUGGUGGUUGAAAGCUCCGGCGGUGAAGGAUGAGCCCGCGGCCUAUCAGCUUGUUGGUGAGGUAAUGGCUCACCAAGGCGACGACGGGUAGCCGGCCUGAGAGGGCGACCGGCCACACUGGGACUGAGACACGGCCCAGACUCCUACGGGAGGCAGCAGUGGGGAAUAUUGCACAAUGGGCGAAAGCCUGAUGCAGCGACGCCGCGUGAGGGAUGACGGCCUUCGGGUUGUAAACCUCUUUCAGCAGGGAAGAAGCGAAAGUGACGGUACCUGCAGAAGAAGCGCCGGCUAACUACGUGCCAGCAGCCGCGGUAAUACGUAGGGCGCAAGCGUUGUCCGGAAUUAUUGGGCGUAAAGAGCUCGUAGGCGGCUUGUCACGUCGGGUGUGAAAGCCCGGGGCUUAACCCCGGGUCUGCAUUCGAUACGGGCUAGCUAGAGUGUGGUAGGGGAGAUCGGAAUUCCUGGUGUAGCGGUGAAAUGCGCAGAUAUCAGGAGGAACACCGGUGGCGAAGGCGGAUCUCUGGGCCAUUACUGACGCUGAGGAGCGAAAGCGUGGGGAGCGAACAGGAUUAGAUACCCUGGUAGUCCACGCCGUAAACGGUGGGAACUAGGUGUUGGCGACAUUCCACGUCGUCGGUGCCGCAGCUAACGCAUUAAGUUCCCCGCCUGGGGAGUACGGCCGCAAGGCUAAAACU
rnacentral:rRNA from 1 species